rnacentral:rRNA from 1 species
UACAGAGGGUGCGAGCGUUAAUCGGAAUUACUGGGCGUAAAGGGUGCGUAGGUGGUGAUAUGAGUUAUAUGUGAAAUGCCUGGGCUUAACCUGGGACUGGCAUAUAAUACUGUAUGACUAGAGUUAGGUAGAGGGGAGUGGAAUUUCUGGUGUAGCGGUGAAAUGCGUAGAUAUCAGAAGGAACACCGGUGGCGAAGGCGGCUCCCUGGACUCAAACUGACACUGAGGCACGAAAGCGUGGGUAGCAAACAGG